ensembl:lncRNA
CUUUUACCUAGAGAAGUUAAAUCAAACCAUGUUAGAGGACCUUUCACCUUUUAUCUGUUAGACUAUGUCUGUGUUUACUGUGUGUCGCUGUGUGUGUGUGUGUUAGCGCAGUGUGUGUGUGUGUGUGUGUUAGCGUUGUGUGUGUGUGUGUGUGUGUUAGCGCAGUGUGUGUGUGUGUGUGUUAGCGCAGUGUGUGUGUGUGUGUGUGUGUGUUAGCGCAGUGUGUGUGUGUGUUGUGUGUGUGUUAGCGCAGUGUGUGUGUGUUAGCGCAGUGUGUGUGUGUGUUAGCGCAGUGUGUGUGUGUGUGUGUUAGCGCAGUGUGUGUUAGCGC